rnacentral:tRNA from 1 species
GAGGAGAGGUAAAACCAACGAGAACUGCUAACUCUCAUAUCUGAGUAUAAAACCUCAGUCUCCUUA